AUACUUACCUGGCAAGGGAGAACUGUGAUCAAGAAGGCAGUCCACCCGGGUGAGGCUCAGCCAUUGCACUCCGGCUGUGCUGGACCCCUGCGAAUUUCCCAAAUGUGGAAAUCUCGAUUGCAUAAUUUAUGGUAGUGGGGACUGCGUUCGCGCUCUCCCCU
ensembl:snRNA U1 U1 spliceosomal RNA